CAGGCGGGUGCACUCACCUCCACCUUGUGGUGCAACGUGACAUUAGACAUCAGCUCUUCAAGCACACCACACAGCUCAGUACUCACACAUGUCAAAAUGCAGGUUGGCGUCCCUUCCGCAUGGCCCAGUAAUCUGACGAAUCUGCUGAGAACAGGGCUUGUUGACAGCGGAAAAACUUGGCUCAUUGAACCGGAUGUGGUACCGUUCUUGUGCUUGUACUUCUUCUUCUUCUUGGUGAAUUGGAUGUCUUUAGUUCAUAUC